rnacentral:tRNA from 1 species
GCCGGUGUGGCUCAGUGGUUGAGCGUCCACCUGGGAACCAGGCGGUCCCGGGUUCGAGUCCCGGUCAAGGGCA